UAACAAGGUCUCCGUUGGUGAACCAGCGGAGGGAUCAUUACCGAGUACUAUAACUCAUAACCCUUUGUGAACCUUCAUACCUGUUGCUUCGGCGGCGCGCCUCUCGGGGCGUGCCCGCCGGCAUUAUCAGAAUCUCUGUUCGAACCCGACGAUACUUCUGAGUGUUCUAAGCGAACUGUUAAAACUUUCAACAACGGAUCUCUUGGCUCCAGCAUCGAUGAAGAACGCAGCGAAACGCGAUAUGUAAUGUGAAUUGCAGAAUUCAGUGAAUCAUCGAAUCUUUGAACGCACAUGGCGCCUUCCAGUAUCCUGGGAGGCAUGCCUGUCCGAGCGUCGUUUCAACCCUCGAGCCCCCGUGGCCCGGCGUUGGGGACCUGCCCAGGCAGUCCCCGAAAACCAGUGGCGGACCCGACGGGCCCUUCCUUUGCGUAGUAACAUCUGCCUCGCAUCGGGAGCCCCCGGGCUAUCCGGCCUCUAAACCCCCCUCAAGCCCGCUCCGGCGGCACCAAGGUUGACCUCGGAUCAGGUAGGAAUACCCGCUGAACUUAAGC
rnacentral:misc_RNA from 1 species